rfam:Branchiostoma floridae genomic scaffold BRAFLscaffold_174, whole genome shotgun sequence.
ACCCCGGCCCUUUUCAGGGCCACCCACUCACUCCCAAGAGAACUGU